rnacentral:rRNA from 1 species
AUUGAACGCUGGCGGCAGGCUUAACACAUGCAAGUCGAGCGAGCGGCGGACGGGUGAGUAAUGUCUGGGAAACUGCCUGAUGGAGGGGGAUAACUACUGGAAACGGUAGCUAAUACCGCAUACCAGCACAUGUGCCCAGAUGGGAUUAGGUAGUUGGUGGGGUCAUGGCUCACCUAGGCGACGAUCCCUAGCUGGUCUGUGAGGAUGAACAGCCACACUGGAACUGCGACACGGUCCAGACUCCUACGGGAGGCAGCAGUGGGGAAUAUUGCACAAGGGGCGCAAGCCUGAUGCAGCUAUGCCGCGGGUGUGAAGAAGGCCUUCGGGUUGUAAAGCACUUUCAGCUAGGAGGCGUUACUCGCAGAAGAAGCACCGGCUAACUCCGUGCCAGCAGCCGCGGUAAUUC